GAUGAAGAACGUAGUGAAAUGCGAUACGUAAUGUGAAUUGCAGAAUUCAGUGAAUCAUCGAAUCUUUGAACGCAUAUUGCGCUCUCUGGUAUUCCGGAGAGCAUGCUUGUUUGAGUAUCAGUAAACACCUCAACUUCCAUAUCUUUUUUGAAAUGGGAGUUGGACUUGAGUGAUCCCAACGCUUUUCCUCACCGAAAAGUGGCGGGUUACUUGAAAUGCAGGUGCAGCUGGACUUUUCUCUGAGCUAUAAGCAUAUCUAUUUAGUCUGCCUAAAAAACAGAUUAUUACCUUUGCUGCAGCUAACAUAAAGGAGAUUAGUUCUUGUGCUGACUGAUGCAGGAUUCUCAAAGACAGGCUUCGGCCGACUUUGUAAACUCGAUCUCAAAUCAAGUAAGACUACCCGCUGAACUUAAGCAUAUCAAUAAGCGGAGGA
rnacentral:misc_RNA from 1 species